AUAAUUCACAUCAAGUGAAAGGGCUAACCACUUGGCAGAACUUCCUUUCAUCUAAACUGCUGAAGAUCUCCAGACAGAGGAUGAUGGAAAGCUAGAAUCGACUGCAUGGUUGCAGGGGGCAAGGUAUCAGAGAGGUUGAUGGUCAUUGAAGAAACUUGUUAUGGAAUUUGCCUUCUAUAUGACAAGGCUAGUCAUUUGGGCAAGAAAUUGGUCUUGCCUGGACUGCUUGAUGGUAUUCUGUAUAAACUGGAUAUGCAGGACCUACAGAAAAAUGACUGCUGAUGUUACCUAAAGUAGGAGAGACUGUCUGUCAGUGUUCCUGCUUCAUGAAAGAAUCUGCCAGACAUUCUGCAGGACACAGAAGAAAGUGACUGACAAACUGCCAAUAUAGGUGGAAAUUUUCUGCUUCAAGGUAUCCAGACAAGUCUCCUAGAUACCAUGAGCCUGGAGGCUGAAGAUGGAUGCCUCAAUCUGAUAAUUCUAGCUUCUGUCGAGAGAUGCAAAACCAGUCAAUACAGAAGGAUAAUAUGCAGUACUGAUGUUUUCAAGACUCUUCUCAACUCCAGUGAUGUUGUGUCUGCUUUGGAACGUAGCAUGGGUCACUGGGAUCUUGUGCUUGCAGGUGAUACAUCGACUUUUAAGUCCAGAUCAUGCUUUGAAAAAUGCAAUGAGAAGAGCUCUGUGGAAGAAUUCAGGGGCUGAUGCCCAUGCUGAUCCAAGUUCAUGUCAUCAGACUUCGAUAAAGACAAUUACAAUAAAUAUGCAUCCCUUGUUUAAUAAAGAACUUAAUAAAGGGAUCACUUUUGA